AUGUCGGUAGCCAAGAAGGACGAGGUUUGCGGUCAUCCGCUUGGGCUGCGAUUGGGUGAGCCGGCUGCUGGUGUUCCCAUUAAGAAAAGGCCGGUUUUCUUAUCCGACAAAUCAGUUCCAUCUGGAAUGACACUCUCCAUGAAGCCCCCAUCUACUCCGACGGGGAUGUCCGUCUCGGCUCUGGGGGCUGGCUUUAGCAACGAGCCUGUCUUGAAUAGAUCUAAAUCGGAUAUUCCCAGUAGAUCUUUUACUCCGUUGACGAACGAGAAGAAAGGCGUGCUACUUAAUGGCUCAAGCGAGAUCCCCUCUCGUGGAGAGAGUGGUAGACUAGGGAGUGCUGCUCCCGUUGCCAGAUCACAGAGUCACAAGUUUCUGACUUUGGAUUUACAGUUAGCGUCUCGUCAGAAUGUCAAAAUCAACUCUAAUUCCCCUGUCAAGAAAGAGAAACUAGAUCAGGGGUUUUCUAUAUUUCCUUCAGCAAGACCUCCCAAGGAUGUGCAAACAACAAGUGGCAUGGAAUCUUCUUCUAACUCUAGCUUGGGAAAACUAUCUAAUUUAGAUCUUAAUGUAUCACUGGACCCAGUUGAUCAACUUGAAGGUUUGCCUACAAUGCAGGCUGGCUUUAACAUACCCCAUCAUACAACAAUUCAGCAUCAGAAAGCACAGGUUCCCCCAGUGGCACCCUUUUCUUCAGUAAGCAGUCGGCUGAGUCUAAAUAUUGACAAUACUCUGAAACCGUCAAGUGCAUAUCAACUUCCUAAUAAGAGUGUGGCAGCUGAUGUUACCUUAGAUUUGCAACUUAAACCACCAACCAGACCAGAGCUUGGAAUAAGCUGGAAAGGCCUUGCUCCUGAUCCAGAGCUAAGCCUCUCUCUAUCUGGUAAUCACACAGAUGAGCCUAAGGGUCUGAAUGUUCCUGAUGCUAUAUUUACGUCUGAACCUGUUGAAAGAGCCAAUAAGAUCAGCCUGGAGGUUCCUGCACCAGUCUCCAAUAAAUCACCAGCUGAGAAGAUUUCGAAACCUAUGGCGUGUAAUGUAAAUCCUCACACCACCAUGCCACACUCAGUUUCUGGAAAUGUGGAGAUAAUGCCCAGUAAUUUGGUGAAGAAAGAGCCUGGAGAACCUACACGGCGACAUAUCCAGAAAAAUGUAGAAAAGGCACCUCUGUUCGUCCAACAAAGUGUUGGACAGGCUAGCAGUAGUGCUGAAUUUGAAAAAACUGGCAACCUAAACCAAGUGUGUGGUAAAGCUGGCUUUGAUUUGUACUCUGGAAAGUUUCCAAAUGGUAGUGGUGUCCGCAAUGGAUUGGAGGUAGUGACUGAUAGUGUUCCUGCACAAACUGACAAGUUGUGUGGUGUUGCUUGCACUGAGAAAUUUAUCAAGCGUGAAGAAGUGACAACUGCCAUCCCAAGCCCUGUGAUUGCAACAGUAAGUGGUCAGUCUGAGUCAUUAAUUGCUAAAUCACUGCAUUUGGAAGGUAAUGUUGCCAGCCCUGUUGCUGGAUUAUGUGAACCAGCUAGUCAACCCACCAUUUCUGCUUCGGGACCUGCAAGCUGUAAUCCUGUUAAAGCUACUAUUGAUUGUAAACCAGCAGUUAAUCAGAUUCAUGCUCACAAAAAUGUGGCCCGGAAGCCUUGUGAUGUAUCUCGAAGUUCCUCCAACCCUACAGCUGAACCUCUGGUUUUCAAUUCUCUGCACCGUGCUGUACUUGAUGGUAUGUCCCAAGGAAGUGCUUCAAUGGACUUUUCAGAGGAUGGUGAUAAUGCUGUUUCACAGCUGCCUACUACCAAUAACCCUCGUGUUGAGUCAUUGGGUAAUAGUCAAAUUACUGAGGUUAAUAACUUAAUCACAGAGCCGCGGAAAGAAGGUGAUAGUAAUAUGCAUCAUGACUGUUUGUCCGUGACAAAUAAGGUUCACAUUCAGGGCACUGAUGAUGUGAAGCGUGUUAAUACGCCAGAUGUCAUUGCCACCCAUUCAGGUGAGGAGGAGCAUGAAAGUGAGGUUUCUGUUAAUGGGAAAGCCAAAGACAAACAAUUGUUGACAUCUGAUAAGAAUUCCCCACUGACUAAUACUGACAUUACCAUGGAAGAUGUUAAGAUUUCCGCAGGUGCCAGUUCAGCAGAUCUUACAAGAUCACCUAUUUUGGGAGCUUCAGGUUCCCAUAAAAUAGAUUCUACGAGGCAAUCUCCCAAGACAUCUGAUAACACUGUCGAGAAGUGUAGAAUCCCAGUGAUAAAAUCUGAAAGGAGUCAGUCUCCUGAUGGUAAACAAGCUGCUAAUUGUAGCGAGGACAAUACAAAAAUUGCUGCUGUAAAGAGUGAGCAUGGGACAGAAAAGGAAGAGAUUGCUAGAGGCUCUAAUUUACAGCCAAACGAUCCAGUUUUGGGUGAAGAUUCACUUGUUGACAGAGCUUCGACCAGUCAACUACAUAAUGAAUCUACAGAGAAUGAAAAAGAUGGACAGGUUAAUGGGUCGCAUUGGCGAGAUGUGGCAAAUGCUUAUGUUAAUAGGAAUGAAAGAUGGGAGAGGUUCAUGCAGUCUGAGCGAGAGAACAAUAGAGAGUUCCAUGGUGGCAGAGACAUGAACAAUCAACGGAGGAUAGACCCACGUUAUCGUGGUCGUGGUGGUGGAUAUCAUGGCUAUCCAAGGAACUUCAGGGGUCCAAGAAUGAGCGAUGAGUCUGAAAUUGACUUCGAAGAUGAACCUAUUGUUGGCAGAAGGAGGCCACAUGAAAAUGACUACGGGCACUUGCACCGAACUCAGCAUAGGCGGCUGCGUUCACCACUGCAUCAGAUGCCUGGCUGCCUCAUGAGAGAAAUGGAGCAUGACAGAUUUUCUGGGAGAGAGAUUAUGGACCCUAGGCUGUUGGAUCACGGGCAGAUGGAUGAUGUCCCAGAUGACAUGAUGGAACAGAGGUUUUUCAUGCCCCAUCCUCAUUCACAGCACACUCUAGGUGAUCAUGCAUUUAUCCACAGGGACAGGAGUCAUUCACCUGGUCAAAGAAGGGGCGCCCCCGUGCAUUUCCACCGGGGACGGUCCCCUGAAACCAUGCACAGAUCACCACCACUAAACAGAAGUGACAGACCAUACUUACCUCAUCAACGCCACAUACGACGCCGUGGUUCUCCAUUCGACCGAGUAGGACAUGACGAGAGAGGUAUGCAAAGGAACAUGAAGCGGUGUGGCAUGCAUCAAGGUGUGGAAGGUGAGACCUUUGAGCCACCUUUACAUCCCGCUCAACUAGCCGUGCUACAUGCAGAGGCUGAGCUUACAGAGAGAAGGAGGUUUGGGGAGAGGAGAGGGUAUCGUCGAUCCUUGGAACGGAGCCCCAUGGGCGGCGACGAGGAGAUGCUCUCAUACCACCACGGCGAUGGCGACAUCGACUUCGCCGAUGGUGAUGGCGGUCCACGGGAGCCUGAUGGCCGUGGCUUCAGGAACAGAAUGGAGCACCGAGCAAGGGGCGAGCAGGAAGACGGCUUCAGGUACCGUGGCCCUCAGGGGUGCCGUGACGGCAACCCGAAUGACAGUAGAUCGAAGAAGAGGAGGUACUGA
rnacentral:rRNA from 1 species